ACGUCACAGAGGAGGAAGGGGGGCCCAUCCCUUGAAUACACUUGGGCGCCCGGGGGAUUAAAAAGUGGCCGCACCCGCCCCCUGGAGGGGGGAAAAAACUUCCGGGGAACCGCGGGCUGUAUACCGCACUAACAUCCCUCGGAUCGGGAAGAAACUGGGGAUCAAAAGGGCCAAUUUGCUUGAGGAAGGGUUCCGGCCUGAUUAGCUAGUUGGCGGGGUAACGGCCCACCAAGGCAAAGAUCGGUAUCCGGCCUGAGAGGGCGCACGGACACACUGGAACUGAAACACGGUCCAGACUCCUACGGGAGGCAGCAGUGGGGAAUUUUGCGCAAUGGGGGAAACCCUGACGCAGCAACGCCGCGUGGAGGAUGAAGUCCCUUGGGACGUAAACUCCUUUCGACCGGGACGAUAAUGACGGUACCGGUGGAAGAAGCACCGGCUAACUCUGUG
rnacentral:rRNA from 1 species